AGCGACGUGGGGAAACGGCUAACCCGUUGGGCUCAUAACCCAAAGAUAGUACGAUCGACACGUACCGUCGCUA
rfam:Pneumocystis jirovecii RT7 supercont1.6, whole genome shotgun sequence.